rnacentral:rRNA from 1 species
AUGAACGCUGGCGGCGUGCCUAAUACAUGCAAGUCGAGCGAACAGACGAGGAGCUUGCUCCUCUGACGUUAGCGGCGGACGGGUGAGUAACACGUGGAUAACCUACCUAUAAGACUGGGAUAACUUCGGGAAACCGGAACUAAUACCGGAUAAUAUAUUGAACCGCAUGGUUCAAUAGUGAAAGACGGUUUUGCUGUAGAUUAUCGGUGGGUCCGCGCCGCAUUAGCGAGUUGGUAAGGUAACGGCUUACCAAGGCAACGAUGCGUAGCCGACCUGAGAGGGUGAUCGGCCACACUGGAACUGAGACACGGUCCAGACUCCUACGGGAGGCAGCAGUAGGGAAUCUUCCGCAAUGGGCGAAAGCCUGACGGAGCAACGCCGCGUGAGUGAUGAAGGUCUUCGGAUCGUAAAACUCUGUUAUUAGGGAAGAACAAAUGUGUAAGUAACUAUGCACGUCUUGACGGUACCUAAUCAGAAAGCCACGGCUAACUACGUG